AUGUGCCCCUUGAGUAAGGCCCUUAUUGCUCCUGUAACAGUUCCCAAACCCGUCCAGCCACCCUCUAGUGAGGAGCUGUCCAGUAAGUCAAUAGCCACGCUGAUGUGUCUAGCCAACAAGGGCUUCCCCUCAGACUGGACCAUGAGCUGGAAAGUGGACGGGACCAGCAAGAAGCAGGAGGCCAGUCCCGGGGUCCUGGAGAAGGACGGCCUGUACAGCUGGAGCAGCACACUGACUCUCACUGCCCAGGAGUGGACCAAGGCAGGAGAGGUGACCUAUGAAUUCCAGCAGAAAUCCCAGACUCCAGUCACAAAGACCCUGAGGAGGGCUGACUGUUCUGGGUAGGACCCCUCAGUCACACACCCCUGUGGAGAGAGGAUGCUGGUUCCUCUGCUUUGACUAGCUUUGUUCUAAAAUCAGU